rnacentral:rRNA from 1 species
GAUGAACGCUGGCGGCGUGCUUAACACAUGCAAGUCGAACGGUGAAGGCGGAGCUUGCUCUGCUGGAUCAGUGGCGAACGGGUGAGUAACACGUGAGCAAUCUGCCCCUGACUCUGGGAUAAGCGCUGGAAACGGCGUCUAAUACUGGAUACGAGCUGCGAAGGCAUCUUCAGCAGCUGGAAAGAACUUCGGUCAGGGAUGAGCUCGCGGCCUAUCAGCUUGUUGGUGAGGUAACGGCUCACCAAGGCGUCGACGGGUAGCCGGCCUGAGAGGGUGACCGGCCCCACAGGGACAGGGCCGGGCCCAGGCCGCAUCGGGGGGCAAGGGGUGGGAAAUUGUGCAAGAUGGGGCAAGGCGUGGAGGAACACCCCCGGGGGGGAAAGGACGGCUUUGGGGUUAGAAACCUUUUUGGGGAGGAAAGAAGCGAAAGGAAGGGUACCUAAAAAAAAGGCCCGGCCAAACUAGUG